UACGGGGGGGGCAAGCGUUGUUCGGAAUUAUUGGGCGUAAAGGGCUCGUAGGCGGUCCAUCGCGUCGGGAGUGAAAAGCUGGGGCUUAACCCCAGUCCUGCUUCCGAUACGGGUGGACUAGAGGUAGGUAGGGGAGAACGGAAUUCCUGGUGUAGCGGUGAAAUGCGCAGAGAUGUGGAGGAACACCGAUGGCGAAGGCAGUGUUCUGGGCCAGUACUGACGCUGAGGAGCGAAAGCGUGG
rnacentral:rRNA from 1 species